rnacentral:rRNA from 1 species
GACGAACGCUGGCGGCGUGCUUAACACAUGCAAGUCGAACGGUAAGGCCCUUCGGGGUACACGAGUGGCGAACGGGUGAGUAACACGUGGGCGAUCUGCCCUGCACUUCGGGAUAAGCCUGGGAAACUGGGUCCAAUACCGGAUAGGACUCCGGACUGCAUGGUCUGGGGUGGAAAGCUUUUGCGGUGUGGGAUGGGCCCGCGGCCUAUCAGCUUGUUGGUGGGGUGAUGGCCUACCAAGGCGACGACGGGUAGCCGGCCUGAGAGGGUGACCGGCCACACUGGGACUGAGAUACGGCCGAGACUCCUACGGGAGGCAGCAGUGGGGAAUAUUGCACAAUGGGCGCAAGCCUGAUGCAGCGACGCCGCGUGAGGGAUGACGGCCUUCGGGUUGUAAACCUCUUUCAGCAUCGACGAAGCGAAAGUGACGGUAGGUGCAGAAGAAGGACCGGCCAACUACGUGCCAGCAGCCGCAGUAA